AUACAGGUGAGCAUUUCGGUGAGAGGUGCUCAGAUAGGACCAAGGUCGGUAGAAGAUGAAGAAGCCAGAGGUUCAUGAGAAGGAACGCACUUGCCAAUGAAGAAGUGAGGGGCUUAUUGCAGCCGUCCAAAGGUCUGAACAAGCCCUCAACAAGUAAGACGACUGGGCAGUGGCUCCCAACUGCUGUUUACCGGGUGAUUGGAUGCGUCGCCGAUCAAAGAUAUCAGAUUCAUGUUGGACAUCGCCUGCGCCCAUGCCAAGAUUGUCUCGCUUGUUGAAAUUUGUCUUGCAGGGUUGACAAUUGAUAUGAAAUGUAAUCUUUGCCUUGGAUAAUAAUAUUCUGCGUAAAACGUGUAUCAAAUUAAUUGUUGCACGCACCAAGAAUUUUUUAACGAAACUUCUGAUCAGAGAAAAAGAAAGAAAUGGAUGAGUGCUAUUACCCUGGUUAUACAUUUGUUUCUAAAUUGUAGUACAGUACUCUAUCCGCUCAUAUCGUUUCAAGGUAUUUUAUUUAUCAUGUAUAUUUAUUAUUGUGUCAGGAGGAGGUACCCGUCAGUUCUGAAAAAUAAACACGGCACUUUUUGGAGUUCACCUUCAACGAAAUAAUUUUAAUCCAAAAAGCAUUUUGCUGAAGUGAUGGAUGAAAACAAAAAUGAAAGUUAUGAAAUACACUUAUUAUUAUAAGGCGAUUUUUAGGUAGAGUACUGUGCCAGCACUAUUGAUUUCCUAGUUGAAGGUAAAAUUUUUCUGUGGGCAAAUCUUCAGUUAGUCACUUAGCUGUGCAUUUGAAGAUGUUUUAAAUAUUUGUUUUGGAUUGAAUUGAACUGAAAAUUCUAAGAAAUUCCGAGGAGAAAAUAUCUCAACUUUUUCAUAUGAAACUUUUGAGAGACAAACGGUUACAUAUAUUGAUAGUUAAGUUUGAGAAAAGAACAAGUUAUUUUAAAAUAA